GACGAACGCUGGCGGCGUGCUUAACACAUGCAAGUCGAACGGAAAGGCCCUGCUUUUGUGGGGUGCUCGAGUGGCGAACGGGUGAGUAACACGUGAGUAACCUGCCCUUGACUUUGGUAUAACUUCAGGAAACUGGGUCUAAUACCGGAUUGGAUCUCCUGCUGCAUGGUGGGGGUUGGAAAGUUUCGGCGGUUGGGGAUGGACUCGCGGCUUAUCAGCUUGUUGGUGGGGUAGUGGCUUACCAAGGCUUUGACGGGUAGCCGGCCUGAGAGGGUGACCGGCCACAUUGGGACUGAGAUACGGCCCAGACUCCUACGGGAGGCAGCAGUGGGGAAUAUUGCACAAUGGGCGGAAGCCUGAUGCAGCAACGCCGCGUGCGGGAUGACGGCCUUCGGGUUGUAAACCGCUUUCGCCUGUGACGAAGCGUGAGUGACGGUAAUGGGUAAAGAAGCACCGGCUAACUACGUG
rnacentral:rRNA from 1 species